rnacentral:rRNA from 1 species
CGCGGCCUAUCAGCUUGUUGGUGGGGUAAUGGCCUACCAAGGCGACGACGGGUAGCCGGCCUGGGAGGGUGGACGGCCACACUGGGACUGAGACACGGCCCAGACUCCUACGGGAGGCAGCAGUGGGGAAUAUUGCACAAUGGGCGCAAGCCUGAUGCAGCGACGCCGCGUGAGGGAUGAAGGCCUUCGGGUUGUAAACCUCUUUCAGUAGGGAAGAAGCGAAAGUGACGGUACCUGCAGAAGAAGCGCCGGCUAACUACGUGCCAGCAGCCGCGGUAGUACGUAGGGCGCAAGCGUUAUCCGGAAUUAUUGGGCGUAAAGGGCUCGUAGGCGGUUUGUCGCGUCGGGAGUGAAAACUCAGGGCUUAACCCUGAGCCUGCUUCCGAUACGGGCAGACUAGAGGUAUGCAGGGGAGAACGGAAUUCCUGGUGUAGCGGUGAAAUGCGCAGAUAUCAGGAGGAACACCGGUGGCGAAGGCGGUUCUCUGGGCAUUACCUGACGCUGAGGAGCGAAAGUGUGGGGAGCGAACAGGAUUAGAUACCCUGGUAGUCCACGCUGUAAACGUUGGGCGCUAGGUGUGGGGGACCUCUCCGGUUCUCUGUGCCGCAGCUAACGCAUUAAGCGCCCCGCCUGGGGAGUACGG